rnacentral:rRNA from 1 species
ACUGAACGCUGGCGGCAUGCCUUACACAUGCAAGUCGAACGGUAACAGGUUAAGCUGACGAGUGGCGAACGGGUGAGUAAUGUAUCGGAACGUGCCCAGUCGUGGGGGAUAACUGCUCGAAAGAGCAGCUAAUACCGCAUACGACCUGAGGGUGAAAGCGGGGGAUCGCAAGACCUCGCGCGAUUGGAGCGGCCGAUAGCAGAUUAGGUAGUUGGUGGGGUAAAGGCCUACCAAGCCUACGAUCUGUAGCUGGUCUGAGAGGACGACCAGCCACACUGGGACUGAGACACGGCCCAGACUCCUACGGGAGGCAGCAGUGGGGAAUUUUGGACAAUGGACGCAAGUCUGAUCCAGCCAUGCCGCGUGCGGGAAGAAGGCCUUCGGGUUGUAAACCGCUUUUGUCAGGGAAGAAAAGGUUCUGGUUAAUACCUGGGACUCAUGACGGUACCUGAAGAAUAAGCACCGGCUAACUACGUGCCAGCAGCCGCCGCGGUAA